GACGAAGGACGCAAGUAUCAUCGCUUCUACGAUCACACUGGUGAUGGACUGGGAGGAUUCAAAGUGGAGAGAAACCAACAUCGGACCGAGGUGGAUGAUAACGCUACACAUCUAGAGGAGCAACAGCUGCUUAUGGAGAAGGCCAUAUUAAUUCAAAGGGCCUGGCGAACUUUGUUGGGGCACAAACGAAGCUGGCAGGAAGAGCCGAAGGACCACAUGAAUCGUUUUCAGUUGGUGUCACAGGAAGGUGCUCUUCCCACUAACCUUCCUACAGGAGAGCUGGGACAGAACCUCA